rnacentral:rRNA from 1 species
UACCAGCACCCCGAGUGGUCGGGACGAUUAUUGGGCCUAAAGCAUCCGUAGCCGGUUCUGCAAGUCCCCCGUUAAAUCCAGCUGCUCAACAGAUGGGCCGCGGAGGAUACUACAGAGCUAGGAGGCAGGAGAGGCAAGCGGUACUCAGUGGGUAGGGGUAAAAUCCGUUGAUCCAUUGAAGACCACCAGUGGCGAAGGCGGCUUGCCAGAAUGCGCUUGACGGUGAGGGAUGAAAGCUGGGGGAGCAAACAGG